rnacentral:rRNA from 1 species
GACGAACGCUGGCGGCGUGCUUAACACAUGCAAGUCGAACGGAAAGGCCCUGCUUUUGUGGGGUGCUCGAGUGGCGAACGGGUGAGUAACACGUGAGUAACCUGCCCUUGACUUUGGGAUAACUUCAGGAAACUGGGGCUAAUACCGGAUAGGAGCUCCUGCUGCAUGGUGGGGGUUGGAAAGUUUCGGCGGUUGGGGAUGGACUCGCGGCUUAUCAGCUUGUUGGUGGGGUAGUGGCUUACCAAGGCUUUGACGGGUAGCCGGCCUGAGAGGGUGACCGGCCACAUUGGGACUGGGGUUCGGCCCCGACUCCUACGGGGGGGAGCAGGGGGGGAUAUUGCCCAAUGGGCGGAAGCCUGAUGCAGCAACCCCGCGUGCGGGAUGACGGCCCUCGGGUUGGAAACCGCUUUCGCCUGUGACGAAGCGUGAGUGACGGUAAUGGGUAAAGAAGCACCGGCUAACUACCUG